rnacentral:lncRNA from 1 species
GGGUAGGCGAGGGUGCCGAGGGAGGCAGGAGGCCCUUUCUGAGGAAAACCGAAGGGGGUGAAAAUAGGGGGUGAGACUGGGGCCCGAUCCUAGGGAAUGGAAAGACUUGGAAGUCAAACUGGAAGAAGAGACGGGCCUCGCAUGUCGGGAGCGAGGGGCUGUAAAAGGGAAGAAUCGGGAGGGGAGACUGCGGGAAGGGCCCUGGCCAAAGGGGCAGUGGCAGGAGAGCCUCUAGGAAGCUCCUCAAGUCUCGUCUGAGGCUUUUGGAUACAGGUCGCGGCACAGGGAGAAUGCACGCAGCUCUGUGCUCUCUUGAAUUGUCCUCCUCUACUUAUUCUGUAAUUCCCAAUUAUUUUGUCCUAUAGAUGGAAGAGACCCUCUCCGCCAGAGCUCUCAAUUUUAACUAAUUUGCCCACAGUUUUCCAAAAAAUCUCAGUCACGGUAUUUGCUCGAGUGUUUUUUAGCACAUGCUUAUAUAAAUAUGUAGUUUUACCACGCGCUUAUAUAAACAUAUAGUACCGAAAUGUGAUACAGCUGUACAAGAAGGAAAUGGGAAAGACGUGGAAAGGGAAACAAUGUUCUGCCCACAGAAAGUAAAAUACGUAAGCGACAGAGGAAUUGUGAAGGGCGAGGCCAGUAUAAGGUCACAUAUUAAAGGAAGAAUAAAUGUGAUAUAGAAGUGAAAAGAGUGGUAAGAGGAAAUUAGAAGCAUGAUGCCUAGGCAGCGUGUUCAAAGACUGACCUCCCCACCCUCCCCCACAAAAAAAAAGAAAAAAGACUGGCAAAGAAUUAGAUCAUCUUUCUUGCUGACAAG